AGGAGAUACAAGAAUUACAACUGCAAG
rnacentral:piRNA from 1 species